AACGAACGCUGGCGGCGUGCCUAACACAUGCAAGUCGAACGAGACCUUCGGGUGCAGUGGCCUAUGGGUGUGUAACGCGUGGGAACCUGCCCUUAGGUUUGGCAUAACUCUCCGAAAGGGGUGCUAAUACCGGAUAAUGUCUUAGACCCAAAGAUUUAUCGCCUUUGGAUGGACACGCGUUGGAUUAGCUUGUUGGUAGGGUAAAAGCCUACCAAGGCGACGAUUCAUAGCUUGUCAGAGAGGAUGAUCAGCCACACUGAGAGUGAGACACGGCCCAGACUCCUACGGGAUGCAGCAGUGGGGAAUAUUGGACAGUGGGGUGAGGCCUGAUCCAGCAAUGCCGCGUGAGUGAUGAAGGCCUUAGAGUUGUAAUGCUCUUUUACCCAUGAUGAUAAUGACAGUACCGGGUGAAUAAGCUCCGGCUAACUCCGUG
rnacentral:rRNA from 1 species